AUUAUUUUUCGUAUAUAAUAAUUUCAAUUUUCUAAAAAAGGUGCAAAACUUCGGAUACGGGCGGUAUAAUCGAAUACAAAACCUAAUUUUUUACCUCCUUAUAUCGACCCCAGGCCUCGAAAGGUAUACGCAAACCUAAUAAUAUACCACCGUGCCUUUCCAUUACAAAUGGUUCCAAACGCCCGCAUUUUUACAAUAUCCGGACAGCUAUUACAAAUGCGCCAAAUAUUAUAUCCUCGACCAAAUUUGUAAUCAUUUUUUUCCCAACCAUCCCUAUUCGCCCAAUAUAAUCCCGCAAUAUUCUAUAUUCGCACGCGCUAUACCAAAAUCCUACCUUAUCCAAACCCCUGCUAUUUUAAAAAACGAGGGGGAAUAUAUAAACGUUAUCCAAAUUUAUAAAAUCCUUUUCAAACAUUUCCUAAACCUGUAACCCACCAAUUUCGAUUAUUCGUUUAUUUUGCUCCUUAUUUACGGGGAUUAAAAAACCACGUUAUAUAUUCGUACCAUUUAGGUAACCCAUAUCGAAUUAUCCCAACCAUUCGACAGAAAAUAAUGGAUAUUACCUAUAUUAGGAUUUUUUUAUAUCGAAUUUAAUUUUAUUAACCAUUUUUGGCAAACGUAUAUAUUUAUUAUAUUAAUGGACAUAACAGGGUUGGGAAGAAAUCGCAACCUAUAAAAAAAUAAAAAAAAGUUUUACCACGUUUUACGGCUUUUAUAAAAUAUAUUUCGUUCCCGUAUAUUAUAUAUUAUAAUCGCCAUUUUAGUCCAAAAUGGCUUAUUGGAAAGGGAAUAUAUUUCCAAAGAAAUAUUGGAGUAGGUUUUUUCGGGAAUAUUACCAAAUAUAUAUACGUUUAUAAUAUACCGAAUUUAUAAUAAUAUAUUCGCCGGUCAAAUUAACCUAUCGACGGAUAUUGGAUUAUGGGAUAACGACCCCAAAAUUAAUAUCGCCUUCCGCACGCAACGCCGCUAUUUGCAAAUAAUUAACCUCCUAUAAAUUAUUAUUAGCGCGUUUUACGAAAAAGAUUACGGUAUAUUGGAAAUUAUAAUACCGCAAUUGGUCCUAUUUUUUUACGGCUGCAAAAUAAAAAAUUACGGCCCAGAAAUAUUAUAUUUAACCUGGUUAUUACGUUCAAAGGUUACAAACCCGCCGUUGCGUACAGGAAUUUUGAAAUUAGCGUUCGUAAAAUAUAUUACGGCCGGGAACGGAUUUAAAUUAGCAAAUCUGGCAAUCGAAUAUAUUAAUAGGGGUUUUGCCAUGGACAUUAAAAACAACCGCAAUUUUACCCACGAUUUGCGAGAAAUUUUUAUAUAUUACGCCGCAUUGGGGCCCAUCGCGAACACGUUGCGCAAAACUUUGGAAAAUUUCGCACGAAUUCGCAUUAAUAGCAAAUAUUAUAUAAUAUUAACAAAUAAUAAUAUUAUAUAUUACGCGUAUUUGUUAUUUUAAAAUGGUUGGGGAAGCGAGGAAAAUAAAAUGUCGCCUCCAUUUAAUUUCGACGGCCCUAACCUCCUUUAAUUGGGUAUAUAAGAAUUAAUCGGCGACAAAUUGGAGGCCUUUAACCAAAAAAUCGUACGACCCGAAAAUAUAUUGCACCAGGCGGAUAUGGAAAACGUGGCGGGAUAUACGGAAAAGGGAAACAACCGGCCAAAUGGAUUAAAUAUUAGCGGAAUAAUAAAUAUAAAGGGAAAAUUGGCCUACGGAAUAUACGAAAAUUCGGAAAAGGAAAAGCCAUAAAUUUCGAUAAAAUAAAUAUAACCGGACCCCGGAAAAAUAAUAAAAAACGGACAAAUUCUUAUUUAAAAUAGGGCGUAAUUAAAAAAUAUUGCGUUACUCUUUUCGCCGCCAAUAAAUAAUAAUAAUAACGCAAAAAUAGCGCGCAAAAUGGGGAAAUUGCCACGUCGCAAUUUAAAUUUAUAAAUAUAACCGACCCGCCACCACCACCAAUUUUCCCGUCACCAAUUUUAUAUUAUUUUAAUUAACCAUUUUAUUAUAACCCCCAACGAUAAAUUUAAAAAAAAAGAAAAUCCUAAUAAUAACCGUCGUUAUAAUAAUAUACCCACACAAACCCGUAAAACAAAACCGCAAAAAAAAAAUAAACGUUAAUUAGGAAAAAAAGAUACGUUUGGUAAUGGAUAACUUCUUCCUCGGAAUGGGAUUUUCAAUAGCACGCUUCCUUUUGCAAAUUGGGGUCUGGGCAGACGAUCCAAAAACUCCAUCGGCGCCAUUUUUAACUUCGAACAAAUUGGGUAUAUAGGGUUUUUUAAAUGGGUCGAACGCCUAUUUUUUAUAAAUAUCCCCAAAUUCGAUAAAAAAAAAGGGCUGGAUAUUUACAGCCAAAGAAUUAUUAUUAUAUUCCUCCGCGAUAUUAUUUUUUAAAAAGGCGUUCGUUUCCCGGCGUUUAAUUACCCAAAAACCAGAAUCCCUUAUAAAAGCCCCAAUUAUUCGCAUAUUUUCGGCGGUCUCGUAAAACCCGUCGUUUUCCUUAAUCCAUUUUAUUAAUUUAACUAUAAAACCCUAAUCUAUAAUAUUAAAAUCGAAAGGCGGUAAAUAUAUAUAAUUAAUAUAAUCGGCAAUUGUAUCCCGGCCACCAUUUUGCUCCUAAUAUUAAUAAUUAACGUACGCAAAACCUAAUAAUAAAACGAAAGCCGACGUUUUGUUAACCACGUUAUUUUCGUCGAAAGGCGCUGGAAUAUCCGAUACGAAUAUCGAAACGAAACGGGAAUAAAAUUCUCCCAUUCGACGAAUUUUGUCCGAACAAAAAUUAUUUAUUUUUUGCGGCGGUUCGGUUAUUUACGCGAAAUAAUUAAAGGGCCAAAAAAAUAUAACCGCCAUCGCCUCAUAUACCAAAAGUUGUUUUAUAACGGGAAAAACGAUAAUUUCGGGCAAACGCAUCCGCGUAAUAUAUUCCAACGACAUUUAAAAUACGUUAGCAAAAAUUAUAAAAACUCGGAUUCGUAAUAUUUAUUUUUCGGAAUAUCCGGUCCUUUACCCAAUUAAACAAAAUACCUCGCAUUUCGAAAAUCCUCCAAAUAACGGGUUUUAAUUGUCCCAAACAAAUUAAACGACCACAGAUUUGCAAUUAUAUAUUGGCGUUCCAUAUUAACGGAAUAAUAAUACCAAUAUAAUAAUUAUAAUGCAAAUUAAAACCGGUAUUAAAAAUAUUAAUAUUUAAAACGCAAACGUCGAAAGAGGAACUCGAGUCGGUAAAGUCGGUUAUUGCCUUAUUACGCUCGGCCUAAAAUAAACCAGCCCGGAUAAUAAUAACGCCGAAACUGGUUUUUUCCAAAAUGGCCGCGAUCAAAUUACAAAAAUUAGCCAAUAUAUUAACAAUUGUAACAAUUGUUAUAAAAAAUAUAAACAAAUAAUUAUAACAGUUGUUAUAAUUAUAAAAGGGGAAUUGUAAUAAUAAUUAUAAUGGGAAAAUUUACGUUUGGAUCCAUAGGUUCGGAAUUAUAACCAAAACCCGUUAACCUCGCUUUUUUUUUUCCAUACAAAUCUCUAUAACCCUGGCGAUAAACGGUAAUUCAUUUAAUAUAAAAUAAAUUAUUUCGGUUUUACCAAAUGGAAAUAGCGUCUUUGGGUCUAUAUAUAUUUUAAAAUAUACCCAGUUAAAAAGUCCGUCGCCGCUAUAUUAAAUAAACGCGUCCACAAUUACCGAUCCAAGGCGGGUUUUACCUCCCGAAAGGUUUUUUUUAAUGCUCUGGCGGAUUUGGCGAUAUUUGGCUUUAAAAUUAACACCUUUUAAAACCAAUAAUUUCCCCAAUUCGGCUAAAUCGGUAUCCCGAAUGUCGUUUUCGGCGUAUAUUAUGGACCAAAAGAGAUAAUUUAUUACCAAAAACUGCAAAAAUUAUAUAAACCCCAUAUUUAGCGAUACCGAUAUUUUACGCCCUAAAUCCGCUCCAUUUCCGUCCAAAUCGUCCCCAAACGGGGCGGGACCGAUAUUAUUUAUAUUUUCCCCCACGAAAGGAAUUAAAAUAUUUUUUAAAAUCGCCUUUAUAUUUUCCAUUAUAUCCCCAAAAUAAUAACCGAAUUGAAGCUUUUUAAUAAUAAUAUUGUAAGGAGGGAUCUUUUCGCGGGGAUAGGUAACCGUGCGAUUCGGUAACGUCAAACCCGAAUCCAUUCCGCGGCGCAUAAUAAAUAUGCCUAUAUUUUGGAAAAUAAGGGAUAAUUU
rnacentral:sRNA from 1 species